rnacentral:rRNA from 1 species
CAACGAUUGCGACCCCAG